CGAAUUGCAACAUUUGCAUGGAAAACAACACCAAGGGACGAGUGAAAGUACAGACAUGACGAGCGCCUGCCCCACCAGGAUCGUCUACCCAACCAGCGCCUGCCCCACCAGGAUCCUUCAGACAUCUACAUCACACCUCCCAAAUGUUAUGAGAAUCUACCGUCUGAAGCUAAAUAAAUAUUCCUUGACCCAAGGACUGUACUUGACAUGAUACAAGAUCAACGGUGAAGUGUUCAUUAGAGAAGUCCUUAUCAACCAGUGGAACGGAAGAAGAAUUCCUCACUACCAGCAGACUGUCAGAACAUAAUUUCUAAUAGUUAUCUAUGUGGGACUGAUACCAGUGUGGAAGAGCUGGUCACUUUUAAAAGACUUGGGGAAUGAUUGCCUUGCCAAUUGGACGAUUGAAUAUUAUUGUCUUCCUCCUAAUACAGGAUGUGGUAGGAAUCGUAAGCGACAUCAUCAUUACACAUGUCAAUACUUAUUUUAUCUAACGUUGUUAGAAAUCUAUUUCUUAUAGUAACAGCAAGUAGAAUAUGCCCUUUGUGUUUUAUAGAAAUGCAAGGUGUUUAAUGUGAAUGAUUUUAUGCUUACUGCAAAUGUUUUUUAUACCGUCUAUUUUUUCAUGUUUUCUAUUGUUUCUAAAAAUACAUUUUAAGUAUAUUUAUUUUGAAAAUGUUCUAGGGGGAGUGUAAGAAUAUUUAGAAGAUAAAUACACAAUGCAGAGGACGAGAGGUCAAUAGAGUACUAACUGUCAAGAGGACUAAAAGUCAAUAGAGUACUAACGAUCAAUGGAAAUAGUGUUUUUUCUGUAAUAGGGGAUUAAUGAUCAAUGGGUCAGAUACAUGGGAGGAAUUUCAGUCCGGGACUCAUAGCUACAUGGCAAGUUCUCGUUGGUCCAAAUUGUUUAUACAUUGAGCCUGAAAUAUGCUACUUGUUAUUUGGCCAUUGUCCCAGUUAAUUGCAAGGAAUUUUAAUUGGUCAACCACAGGCUAGGGUUGGGAUAUAAAACUACAUCCUGUCCCUUUGUUCUGUGGAGAGAAUCACUGAGUAGAGAAUAACUAAGGACAGGGGAGAAUGGGGAGAAUCUACCUCCCCGCAUGAUUUGUUCUCUUUGAAUAAACAAACCUAUUUUCCUCCCCCUGA
rnacentral:lncRNA from 1 species